AUCAGUAAGCGGAGGAAAAGAAACUAACAAGGAUCCCCCUAGUAACGGCGAGUGAAGCGGGAAGAGCUCAAAUUUGUAAUCUGGCACUUUCAGUGUCCGAGUUGUAAUCUCGAGAAGUGUUUUCCGCGCCGGACCGCAUACAAGUCUGUUGGAAUACAGCGUCAUAGUGGUGAGAACCCCGUAACUGAUGCGGAUGCCCGGUGCUUUGUGAUACACUUUCGAAGAGUCGAGUUGUUUGGGAAUGCAGCUCAAAUUGGGUGGUAAAUUCCAUCUAAAGCUAAAUAUUGGCGAGAGACCGAUAGCGAACAAGUACCGUGAGGGAAAGAUGAAAAGCACUUUGGAAAGAGAGUUAACAGUACGUGAAAUUGUUGGAAGGGAAACGAUUGAAGUCAGACUUGUUAUCUGGAGUUCAGCCUUUCGGUGUACUCUCCAGUUUACAGGCCAGCAUCAGUUUUCGGGGCGGGAAAAUCGUAAUUAGAAGGUAGCAGCCUAGCUGUGUUAUAGCUUUUUACUGGAUUCCGCUUUGGGGACUGAGGAACGCAGUGUGCUUUUAGCAAUACCCUCGGGUAUUUCACACGUAGGAUGCGGGAAG
rnacentral:rRNA from 1 species